rnacentral:rRNA from 1 species
UACAGAGGUCUCAACCGUUGUUCGGAUUCAUUGGGCGUAAAGGGUGCGUAGGCGGUCGUGCAAGUCGGAUGUGAAAUCUCAGGGCUCAACCCUGAAACUGCAUUCGAUACUGCGUGGCUAGAGUGCUGGAGAGGAGACUGGAAUUUACGGUGUAGCAGUGAAAUGCGUAGAUAUCAAGAGGAACACCUGAGGUGAAGACGGGUUGCUGGGCCGACACUGACGCCGAGUGCGCGAAAGCCAGGGGAGCAAACGGG